GUUAGUGUAGCAAAUUCUGGUCUUGCAGAAGGUCUAAGCCCUUCUCACAGAGGUUCAAAUCCUCUCUCUAACUUUU
rnacentral:tRNA from 1 species